rnacentral:misc_RNA from 1 species
CCCCCCUUCUCCUCCCUCCUCUCCUUCCUCCUCCCUUAUGGAAAGGGACCACUAGCACUAAAGCCUACCUGUGUUUUAGCUUAUUUGAAAUUUGCCCUUAGUUUACUACUAAAAAAAAGACCUCGAAGUUUUGUGAAAGAGUGCUGCGAACAACCCUGCUGUCAUUGCCUCUUCACCAACAUCACAGUCCGGUUACUAGAUGAACUUACUGCCACCGCCAAUCAACUGGAGACUUCUAGGCGAUCCUUCCAGUGUACUUCUAAUCACUAGCAAUUGCCUGGAGUUCAAGAUCUGUUCAGGUCAGAGGCUACCCCACUCGCAACCUGAUCUACCCUUGACAGUUUCCGACAUCUGGACCUUUCUGGAGCGUUGCUUUCCGAUGAUCUGCAGUUUCCCACUGUUAGGAAACCUUAUCUCGGAACCCCUAGAGUAACAACUGAUCUCCUUCUACAUCCUACUAAUGCUGACAUUAGCCAUGCCACGUUAGCUUGACAGCUCAGUUUGCCACAUCAGCACAAUUUCAACUUGAUCCUCUUUCACUAAUUUUGGGAAUUCUGAAUUUUGUUUUGGCAUUAAUUUUGGGUAAAAAUGAAUCCACACUGCUGAAAUUUGAGUUUUCUUUAAUGAGGUAUGCUACUUUAGUUUGAAGUCAUGCUGUGCACUCAAAGAAUACAAGAUGACAUUAAUAAUUCUAAGGUACAAUUAGAUGUCAUGGGAUAAAAUUCAAGGAUUACAAGCUGAAAUUGGUGACUAUUAUUAAUAGCUUGAUGAAAUAUGUUAUUUGAUGGAUUUAUAU